CCUACGGGUGGCAGCAGUGGGGAAUAUUGCUCAAUGGGGGAAACCCUGAUGCAGCGACGCCGCGUGCGUGAAGAAGUAACUCGUUAUGUAAAGCUCCUUUUGCAGGGAAGAAAAUGACGGUACCUGUGUAAGAAGCCCCGGCUAACUCCGUGCCAGCAGCCGCGGUAAGACGUAGGGGGCCAGCGUUAUCCGGAGUUACUGGGUGUAAAGGGAGCGUAGUCGGCUGUGCAGGUCUGGAGUGAAAGGCGGGGGCUCAACCCCCGAACUGCUGUGGAAACUGGACGGCUGGAGUGCAGGAGAGGUAAGUGGAAUUCGUGGUGUAGCGGUGAAAUGCGUAGAUAUUAGGAGGAACACCAAUGGCGAAGGCGGCUUACUGGACUGUAACUGACGUUGAGGCUCGAAAGCGUGGGGAGCAAACAGGAUUAGAUACCCCUGUAGUC
rnacentral:rRNA from 1 species